UACAGAGGGUGCGAGCGUUAAUCGGAAUUACUGGGCGUAAAGCGUGCGUAGACGGUUAUUUUAAGUCGGGUGUGAAAGCCCCCGGGCUCAACCUGGGAAUUGCAUUCGAGACUGAAUAGCUAGGGUACGGUAGAGGGAAGUGGAAUUUCCGGUGUAGCGGUGAAAUGCGUAGAUAUCGGAAGGAACAUCAGUGGCGAAAGCGACUUCCU
rnacentral:rRNA from 1 species